rnacentral:lncRNA from 1 species
CUACUCUACAAAUUUGAGAGACCACAGUAUGCUGAAAUCCUAGGAGAUCACCCUGGUACCCCCAUGUCCCAGGUGUAUGGAGCACCACAGCUAGAGAGAUCAUUUGUAUAAAUGGGAGGAAUUUUGGGUUAUACACCCUGGAUGAGAAAAAUCUUGCUUAAUUACUUACUGAAUCUUUAUGAUAAUUCCUAAAAAACCCAGAAAAAUAUUCUGCAAUUUUGCUUACAGUGACUCCUGUAUUAUGAAGUGACUGCUCCUGAGUAUCAUC